GGUCAGAUAGUGUAACGGUAACACGCUUGGACUCGAUACAUUGGGAUGGAGCGAUUCUUCCAAGAGAACCUCUGUUCGAUUCGAGGUCUGGCCC